GCCCUGUUAGUUUAACUAAAAACAUCGGUCUUGUAAUCCGACAACGGAGGUUAAACUCCUCCAUAGAGCC
rnacentral:tRNA from 1 species